AGCGAACGCUGGCGGCAGGCCUAACACAUGCAAGUCGAGCGCCCCGCAAGGGGAGCGGCAGACGGGAGAGUAACACGUGGGAACAUGCCCUUCAGUUCGGAACAACCCAGGGAAACUUGGGCUAAUACCGGAUACGUCCGUAAGGAGAAAGAUUUAUCGCUGAAGGAUUGGCCCGCGUCCGAUUAGCUAGUUGGUGAGGUAAUGGCUCACCAAGGCGACGAUCGGUAGCUGGUCUGAGAGGAUGAUCAGCCUCACUGGGACUGAGACACGGCCCAGACUCCUACGGGAGGCAGCAGUGGGGAAUAUUGGACAAUGGGCGCAAGCCUGAUCCAGCCAUGCCGCGUGGGUGAUGAAGGCCCUAGGGUUGUAAAGCCCUUUCGGCGGGGAAGAUAAUGACGGUACCCGCAGAAGAAGCCCCGGCUAACUUCGUGCCAGCAGCCGCGGUAACAC
rnacentral:rRNA from 1 species